UUUACAGAAAAAGUAGGGGCCAAUAUAUCGAAAAAUUACGUAUCAUAUGCUGAAAAAGUCACGGAAGAGUUCAAUGAUGUGAUUGGUUCUUUUUUAUCAACAAGUAUAACUAAAAAUAAUUACAUACAAUUCCUUAACGGCAUUUUUGAAAUAAAAAUGUUGAGUUACGUUUGAAUUUUUUAUUUAAUCAUUUUAAGAUAAAUAUAUAUUCAACUGUAUUAUUCAAUAAUAUAUAAUGUAAAUUAACUUGAUUUUAAUUAUAAAUAUAUAUCAUUAUAAUAAUUUAUGCUUAAAUAAACGUGAUGUCUUUG